GAUGAAGAACGUAGCGAAAUGCGAUAAGUAAUGUGAAUUGCAGAAUUCAGUGAAUCAUCGAAUCUUUGAACGCACAUUGCGCCCGCCAGUAUUCUGGCGGGCAUGCCUGUUCGAGCGUCAUUUCAACCCUCAGGCCCCGCCUGGCGUUGGGGAUCGGCGCGGCCCUCUCCGGGCUGCCGGCCCUGAAAACUAGUGGCGGUCUCGCUGUAGUCCUCCUCUGCGCAGUAGCAACGCUCGCACUGGAACUCGGCGCGGCCACGCCGUAAAACACCCCACUUCUGAAAGUUGACCUCGGAUCAGGUAGGAAUACCCGCUGAACUUAAGCAUAUCAAUAAGCGGAGGA
rnacentral:misc_RNA from 1 species